rnacentral:lncRNA from 1 species
UAAGGCUAUUUACUUGAGAGCUAUUCAUGAUCGCAUUCUGCUUAAAUUCGCUCGUUGGAAAGGCAUGCAUCUUUCUAUGGCUGGGCGUAUAUGUCUGGUCAAAUCGGUUAUUCACAGCUCUAUCACUCACUCGAUGAUGGUUUAUCGUUGGCCUAGGACUUGCUUAAAGAGCUGGAUCGUAAAUGCCGCAAUUUUAUUUGGACAGGAGAUAUCUUGAAAAAACCCAAUUGCUCGGUC